UGGGUUGUGGCUCAGUGGUAGAGCUCUCACCUAGCAUGUGCAGGGCACUGGGUUCGAUCCUCAGCACCACAU
rnacentral:tRNA from 1 species